rnacentral:rRNA from 1 species
CCUACGGGAGGCCGCAGUGGGGAAUAUUUCACAAUGGGGGAAACCCUGAUGCAGCAACGCCGCGUGAGUGCGGAAGUAUUUCGGUAUGUAAACCUCUAUCAGCAGUGAAUAGACAAGAAGGUACCUGAAAAAGCAGCCCCGGCUAACUACGUGCCAGCCGCCGCGGUAAUACGUAGGGGGCAAGCGUUAUCCGGAAUUACUGGGUGUAAAGGGAGCGUAGACGGAAAGGCAAGUCAGAAGUGAACACCCAGGGCUCAACCUGGGGACUGCUUUUGAAACUGUCAAUCUAGAGUCCGGGAGAGGUAAGAGGAAUUCCGAGUGUAGCGGUGAAAUGCGUAGAUAUUAGGAGGAACACCAGUGGCGAAGGCGUCAUACUGGACCGAAACUGACGUUGAGGCUCGAAAGUGUGGGGAGCAAACAGGAUUAGAUACCCGUGUAGUC